rnacentral:lncRNA from 1 species
GCUGGAUUCAAGAUGGCCGCUUACUUGGGAGCGUAUUUGGAAAUAAUUUCAUCGAUUUUGUGCAUAUUUUCUUCAUUUUUUUCGAUGAAACUUAAUAGUUUUCCCAUCAGCCAGACUUUAUAAACCGAAAUUCAUCUUAUACGAGUAAACUUGGAAGGCUGGAAGCCUGAAAUAGACGACAAAAGUUCACAAUUUUCACAAAGUUGGAACUUCGCAAACUGCAACAAUAAUAUUCGCAAGUUGUUGUUUAUUUGGAUGUAAAUAGAAUCUGCUUAAUGCGACAAAGGUUUAAUAGAGCUUCUUGCCUUGCUGGCAAAUGAUAUUUUAAAAGCUCUCAGGACAGCUGUUAUCUCACAAUAGGUAUUGUACAAUUCAAACACACGGUGUGUUGAACACCGAACAUAUUAAUUUGUAUAAUAGAUAAAUUUGGCAAAGUUAGUUACAUUGUUGCUAUGCAAUUCACAACUUUAAAUAUUCAUGCCUAGUUAGUGUUCUACAGUAGUUCACACAUAGAAUAGAAUAGAACAGAAGUAACUAAGCAUUUGAUAAGCCCUAUAUACUAUAAAAGUAAUUCAUUCAUUCAUGCACCUAGAUAAUUCUAAAGCUUAGUUAUCUUUGUUCUACUCUAUGCUUCAGUACACUAGAACAAUGAUACUUAAGGCUGCAUUCCAGUAACGCGUUUUUCAUACGUGCGUACACUCACGUAAAAGUUGAAUUCGCUUAAAAUUUCAUAUAAGUGCAAAUAACCAGGCACGGAUUUUCUGGGGGGGGGGGGUGCGCACCNNNNNNNNNNNNNNNNNNNNCCCCCCCCCCCCCCCCAAGGCAUUUGGCACCCCCGCAAAAUUACAUAUAUUUUGAUUUGAUAGUUUCGUAUUUGAUUAUUCUUACUACUAAAUUUGUAAAAUUAUCAAUAUUAUGGUCUCAGAUCUCGCCAUGCAGGCCUAGAAAACAAAUUUUGUUAAACUUUUUCCUUGGCCUUACCGGGCGUUGCCACCACGCCCCGGCCAAAGCAAGCAGCAGCACCCCCCAGAUAUUUAUCCACCCUUCCGAACGAAAAUAUGAAAAUCCGUCUCUACAAAUAACCUUAACAAAUACACAUUAAAUCAUACACAAAACUGAAUGCUGUCCUUUUAUAACUUUAGUUAUUUCAUAAGUAGGAUGUAAAGCGAAUUCAACUUUUACGUGCAUGUACGCACGUAUGAAAAACGCGUAACUGGAAUGCAGCCUUAAGGCAUGUGACUUGUGUAAAGUUGUGAAUUGGAUAUAACCAAACUUAGACAAAUUUGUUUAUCGUCUAUAGUCUGGGGACUUGUUUGAUGAACUUUGUUUUAAUUUUUCCUUGAAUCCCAUUUUUGACAAAAACAAUUUUAUUAUAUGAACGUAAUAUGCAAUAGCCCCAGCGACUAACGCUCAAUAGAGCGUCUUGUUAUAGUUAAUUUAAUAACUACUGGACAGUAUAAAUUGCUUUAGUUGUUGGUUUCUGAUCAAUUUCGG